rnacentral:rRNA from 1 species
GACGAACGCUGGCGGCGUGCUUAACACAUGCAAGUCGAACGGAAAGGCCCUGCUUUUGUGGGGUGCUCGAGUGGCGAACGGGUGAGUAACACGUGAGUAACCUGCCCUUGACUUUGGGAUAACUUCAGGAAACUGGGGCUAAUACCGGAUAGGAGCUCCUGCUGCAUGGUGGGGGUUGGAAAGUUUCGGCGGUUGGGGAUGGACUCGCGGCUUAUCAGCUUGUUGGUGGGGUAGUGGCUUACCAAGGCUUUGACGGGUAGCCGGCCUGAGAGGGUGACCGGCAACAUUGGGACUGAGAUACGGCCCAGACUCAUACGGGAGGCAGCAGUGGGGAAUAUUGCACAAUGGGCGGAAGCAUGAUGCAGCAACGCCGCGUGCGGGAUGACGGCCUUCGGGUUGUAAACCGCUUUCGCCUGUGACGAAGCGUGAGUGACGGUAAUGGGUAAAGAAGCACCGGCUAACUACGU